GGCCGCAGUAAACUGACUGUGCUAAGGUAGCAAAAUCAUUAGCCUUUUAAUUGAAGGCCAGAAUAAAAGAUUUGACAUAGAGCCAGCUGUCUUAGGAUUUAUAAAUACAAUUUUAUUUUAAGGUAAAAAAGCCUUAGUAUAUUAAAAAGACGAUUAGACCCUAAAAUCUACCAAAGUAUAAAUUUAGUUUUAAGAUUACUAAAGUUGGAUAUUUGGUAUACUGGGGCGGUAAUUUUUAUUCUUAAACUAAAUGAAAUUAUACACUAAUGGGUGGCUACUAUUUAACCUCAAUGAAUACAACAAGAUACUUUAGGGAUAACAGCAUAAUAUAUUUUUAGAGUCCCUAUCGGCAAAUAUGCUUAUGACCUCGAUGUUGAAUUGAAUAAACUGCAUUUAGCAGUAUAAAUGUAAGUGAGUCUGUUCGACUCUUAAAAGUUCACAUGAUUUGAGUUCAAACCGGC
rnacentral:rRNA from 1 species